rnacentral:lncRNA from 1 species
ACACCUCGGGGAAGCCCAAGCCUUAAUAAAAGAGACACCCCAGUGACACUUGGGGACUCCCGAAACUGAGCUCUCUCAAGAUCCCUCCGAGAUCCUAGUAUGGAGAGAAAAGGAGGUGUCGACGACCCGAAGACCGAGCCCACUCGGAUUUUCUCUGGUAUCCAAAUCUAGAGAUGCCUCUGGGAGCAUACUCCAGAAAUGAAUAGAGGCACCGACCUUCCCAAAAUCGAACCCACUCGGAUUUUUUUAGAUAGCCAAACCUAGAGAUAUCUUUGGGAGCAUACUAUGGAGAUGAAUGGAGGCGCCGACCUUCCGAAGACUGAGCCCACUCGGAUUUUUUUUGGUAGACAAACCCAGAAAUCUCUGGAAGCAUAUUCUGAAGACGAACGAAGGCACCGACCUCCCGAAGACUAAGCCCAAUUGGAUUUUCUUUAGUAUCCAAACUUAGAGAUGUCACCAAGUGCAUACUCUAAAGACGAAUGGAGGCACUGACGUCUCGAAGACCAAGCCCACUCGAAUUUUUUCUAGUAACCAAACUCAGAGAUGCCUCCUGGAGCAUACUUCAGAGACGAACGGAGGUGCCAACCUCCUAAAGACCGAAUCCACUCA